rnacentral:rRNA from 1 species
GACGAACGCUGGCGGCGUGCUUAACACAUGCAAGUCGAACGGAAAGGCCCUGCUUGUGUGUUGUGACCGCGUGGGGAACGGGUGGGUAACCGGUGAGUUACCUGCCCUUUACUUUGGGAUACCUUCGGGAAAAUGGGGUUAAUACAGGAUCUGAUAUCCCACUGCAUGGUGUGGGUUGGAAAGUUUCGGUGGAUGGGGCUGGACUCGGGGCUAAUGAGCUUCUUGGUGGGGUAGUGGCUAACCAAGGCGUUGACGGUUAGCCGGCCUGAGAGGGUGACCGGCCCCAGUGUGCCUGGGGUACGGCCCAGAGGGCAACGGGAGGCAUCGGUGGGAAACAGUGCGCAAUGGGCGGAGGCCGGAUGCAACAAUGCCGGGUGCGGGAUGACGGCUGUCGGGGUGGAAACCGCUUGAGACUGUGACGAAGCUCGCGUGACGGUAACUAGUAAAAAAGCAACGGCUAACUACGUG